CCGUGCAGCCGGGGAACUAGCGGUGCCCUGUACCUGCAAUCCGCUACAGCAGGGGUGAUGUUCUGCCCAGGGUGACUUACUGUAGGGCUGCCCCUUAUAAGUGAUGUUGACAUCCGGGUCUUGCGCAACAGGAAUUUGUGAACCGUGUCAGGUCAGGAAUGAAGCAGCACUAAGCAAAGACUCCUGUGUGCCGUAAGGUUGCCUGGAUCGAGUUAACUGUAAGGGUAACGCCUAUGGUAGGCAUUCAAAGCAGAACGCACGG
rnacentral:SRP_RNA from 2 species